rnacentral:rRNA from 1 species
CCCAGACUCCUACGGGAGGCAGCAGUGGGGAAUAUUGCACCAUGGGGGAAACCCUGCUGCAGCAACGCCGCGUGAGUGAUGACGGACUUCGGGUUUUCCCGCUCUGUCUUCCUUGACGAUAAUGCCGGUACCUGAUUCUUCCGCCACGGCUCCCUCCGUGCCAUCCUCCUCGGUAAUCCUUCUUUGGCGAGCUUUGUCCGGAUUUACUGGGCGUAAAGGGAGCGUAGGCGGGCUUUUAAGUGAGAUGUGAAAUACUCGGGAGCAACUUGAGUGCUGCAUUUCAAACUGGAAGUCUAGAGUGCAGGAGAGGAGAAUGGAAUGCCUAGUGUAGCGGUGAAAUGCGUAGAGAGGAGGAAGAACACCAGUGGCGAAGGCGAUUCUCUGGACUGUAACUGACGCUGAGGCUCGAAAGCGUGGGGAGCAAACAGGAUUAGAUACCCCUGUA